rnacentral:rRNA from 1 species
UACGUAGGGGGCAAGCGUUAUCCGGAUUUACUGGGUGUAAAGGGAGCGUAGACGGCUGCGCAAGUCUGAAGUGAAAGCCCGGGGCUCAACCCCGGGACUGCUUUGGAAACUGUGUAGCUAGAGUGCUGGAGAGGCAAGCGGAAUUCCUAGUGUAGCGGUGAAAUGCAUAGAUAUUAGGAAGAACACCAGUGGCGAAGGCGGCUUGCUGGACAGUAACUGACGUUGAGGCUCGAAAGCGUGGGGAGCAAACAGG